AAAGCGUGCGCGAGCGGUUAUGUAAGACAGAUGUGAAAUCCCCGGGCUCAACCUGGGAACUGCAUUAGUGACUGCAUAGCUGGAGUACGGCAGAGGGGGAUGGAAUUCCGCGUGUAGCAGUGAAAUGCGUAGAUAUGCGGAGGAACACCGAUGGCGAAGGCAAUCCCCUGGGCCUGUACUGACGCUCAUGCACGAAAGCGUGGGGAGCAAACAGGAUUAGAUACCCGAGU
rnacentral:rRNA from 1 species